GUCUAGUACAUAGCUGUCUAGGUGAACCGCGAAUGGCUCAUUAUAUCAGUUACGGUUCCUUAGAUAUUAAAAAUCUACAUGGAUAACUGUGGUAAUUCUAGAGCUAAUACAUGCACAAAAGACUUGACCCUUACGGGAAGAGUCGCAUUUAUCAGACCAAGAUCAAUGGGAUCCUUCGGGGUUCCUUUGUAUGGUGACUCUGGAUAACUGUGCUGAUCGCAUGGCCUUAGUGCCGGCGACGAAUCUUUCAAGUGUCUGCCUUAUCAACUUUCGAUGGUAGGUUAUGCGCCUACCAUGGUUGUAACGGGUAACGGGGAAUCAGGGUUCGAUUCCGGAGAGGGAGCCUGAGAAACGGCUACCACAUCCAAGGAAGGCAGCAGGCACGCAAAUUACCCACUCCCGGCACGGGGAGGUAGUGACGAAAAAUAACAAUACGGGACUCUAAUGAGGCCCCGUAAUUGGAAUGAGUACAAUCUAAAUCCUUUAACGAGGAUCAAUUGGAGGGCAAGUCUGGUGCCAGCAGCCGCGGUAAUUCCAGCUCCAAUAGCGUAUAUUAAAGUUGUUGCGGUUAAAAAGCUCGUAGUUGGAUCUCAGUUCAUGUUAGGUGGUCCACUUGCCGGUGGCUACUGCCUAGCUGAACAUCUUACAGACCUGUCUGGCGAUGCUCUUUACCGGGUGUCGUUAGCGAUCUGUACGUUUACUUUGAAAAAUUAAAGUGCUUAAAGCAGGCGUAACGCCCGAAUAAUCUUGCAUGGAAUAAUGGAAUAGGACCUCGGUUCUAUUUUGUUGGUCUUCGGAAUCUGAGUNAAUGAUUAAGAAGGGACAGA
rnacentral:rRNA from 1 species